GUUAUGGGGGAGGGGAAGAAGAAAGCCAAGAAGGGCGAGGAGGAUAUGAUUUUAACAUCUGAAACUCAACUUUAUAAUGAGAAACAGAGGAGACAUGAUGUCAUACUGUAGAAGGCAACUCUGUCUUUCUAACCCAAUGAUCAUCCUUUGGGGAAAUGGAAAAAAAGAAUAUAAAUGCUCCGUUGGUUCCUCAAUAUGUGCUUGAAAGAUGUCAUGAGGCUUCCUUUGUAACCCCAAUCAUCAUUUUCCUAGGACAUUCUGGACAAAGUCCCACCUUCGGACCUGAGACUGGUGGCUAUCUCUGCUCAGAAGACUCUCCCACCAAGAUGACCAGUGGCUAACAGACUUCUAAAUGUGGACCAUCUGGAUGAAUCUACGUACAGAUGUACCCACACAACUCAUCCCUAGUCCCAUGCCCUACUCUAAUUUUUUUCAUAGUGCUUAUCAUCUUUUAACAUACUAUAUAAUUUCCUUGUUUCCUGAGUUUAUUAUUCAUUUUCUGUUUCUCCCUGCUAGGAUGUAAUAGAGUAUGAAUUUUGUGUGUUUUUUUGAUAAAUGUAUU